CCUACCUAUAAGACUGGGAUAACUUCGGGAAACCGUAGCUAAUACCGGAUAAUAUUUUGAACCGCAUGGUUCAAAAGUGAAAGACGGUCUUGCUGUCACUUAUAGAUGGAUCCGCGCUGCAUUAGCUAGUUGGUAAGGUAACGGCUUACCAAGGCAACGAUGCAUAGCCGACCUGAGAGGGUGAUCGGCCACACUGGAACUGAGACACGGUCCAG
rnacentral:rRNA from 1 species